GAUGAACGCUGGCGGCGUGCUUAACACAUGCAAGUCGAACGAUGAAGCCCAGCUUGCUGGGUGGAUUAGUGGCGAACGGGUGAGUAACACGUGAGUAACCUGCCCUUUACUCUAGGAUAAGCCCGGGAAACUGGGUCUAAUACUGGAUAGGAACGUCUACCUCAUGGUGGGUGUUGGAGAGAAUUUCGGUCAUGGAUGGACUCGCGGCCUAUCAGCUUGUUGGUGAGUUAAUGGCUCACCAAGGCGACGACGGGUAGCCGGCCUUAGAGGGUGACCGGCCACCAUGGGACUGCGAGAGGGACCAGUGUCCUACGGGAGGCAGCAGUGGGGAAUAUUGCACAAUGGGAGAACGCCUGAUGCAGCGACGUCGCGGGAGGGAUGACGGCCUUCGGGUUGUAAACCUCUUUCAGUAGGGAAGAAGCGAAAGUGACGGUACCUGAAGAAGAAGCACCGGCUAACUACGUG
rnacentral:rRNA from 1 species